CACGUAGGGGGCGAGCGUUGUCCGGAUUCAUUGGGCGUAAAGGGCGCGCAGGCGGCCCGGAAAGUCGGAUGUGAAAACUCGAGGCUCAACCUCGAGCGUGCACCCGAUACUGCCGGGCUUGAGGCAGGUGAGGGGAGAUCGGAAUUCCUGGUGUAGCGGUGGAAAUGCGCAGAGUAUCAGGAGGAACACCGGUGGCGAAGGCGGAUCUCUGGGCCUGUCCUGACGCUGAGGCGCGAAAGCUAGGGGAGCGAACAGG
rnacentral:rRNA from 1 species